GUCUUUUCGAGGUAGGAGUCGACUCCUGUGAGGUAUGGUGCUGGGUGCAGAUGCAGUGUGGCUCUGGAUAGCACCUUAUGGACAGUUGUGUCCCCAAGGAAGGAUGAGAAUAGCUACUGAAGUCCUAAAGAGCAAGCCUAACUCAAGCCAUUGGCACACAGGCAUUAGACAGAAAGCUGGAAGUUGAAAUGGUGGAGUCCAACUUGCCUGGACCAGCUUAAUGGUUCUGCUCCUGGUAACGUUUUUAUCCAUGGAUGACUUGCUUGGGUAAGGACAUGAAGACAGUUCCUGUCAUACCUUUUAAAGGUAUGGAGAGUCGGCUUGACUACACUGUGUGGAGCAAGUUUUAAAGAAGCAAAGGGUUUUUAAUGACCACAACAAGCAAGCAUGCAGCUUACUGCUUGAAAGGGUCUUGCCUCACCCAAGCUAGAGUGCAGUGGCCUUUGAAGCUUACUACAGCCUCAAACUUCUGGGCUCAAGUGAUCCUCAGCCUCCCAGUGGUCUUUGUAGACUGCCUGAUGGAGUCUCAUGGCACAAGAAGAUUAAAACAGUGUCUCCAAUUUUAAUAAAUUUUUGCAAUCCA
rnacentral:lncRNA from 1 species